rnacentral:rRNA from 1 species
AGCAGCCGCGGUAAUUCCAGCUCCAAUAGCGUAUAUUAAAGUUGUUGCAGUUAAAAAGCUCGUAGUUGAAUUUCGGGAUCAAUUAAUUGGUCGUGCCUAUGGUACGUACUGAUUUUAUUGGUUUCUCCCUUCUGACGAACCAUGAUGUCAUUAAUUUGGUGUCGUGGAGAAUCAGGAUUGUUACUUUGAAAAAAUUAGAGUGUUUAAAGCAAGCUAACGCUUGAAUACAUUAGCAUGGAAUAAUGAAAUAGGACGUUUGAUCCUAUUUUGUUGGUUUCUAGGAUCGACGUAAUGAUUAAUAGGGAUAGUUGGGGGCAUUAGUAUUCAAUUGUCAGAGGUGAAAUUCUUGGAUUUAUUGAAGACUAACUACUGCGAAAGCAUUUGCCAAGGAUGUUUUUCAUUAAUCAAGAACGAAAGUUAGGGGAUCGAAGACGAUCAGAUACCGUCGUAGUCUUAACCAUAAACUAUGCCGACUAGGGAUCGGAUGAUGUUAAUUUUUUUAAUGACUCAUUCGGCGCCU